UACGUAGGGUGCGAGCGUGUCCGGAAUUAUUGGGCGUAAAGGGCUCGUAGGCGGUCUGUUACGUCGGGAGUGAAAACUCGGGGCUCAACCCCGAGCCUGCUUCCCGAUACGGGCAGACUAGAGGUAUGCAGGGGAGAAUGGAAUUCCUGGUGUAGCGGUGAAAUGCGCAGAUAUCAGGAGGAACACCGGUGGCGAAGGCGGUUCUCUGGGCAUUACCUGACGCUGAGGAGCGAAAGUGUGGGGAGCGAACAGG
rnacentral:rRNA from 1 species